AGGACGAACGCUGGCGGCGUGCCUAAUACAUGCAAGUCGAACGGUCUUUCUAUGGAAGCUUGCUUCCACUGAGAAGAUAGUGGCGAACGGGUGAGUAACACGUGGGUAACCUGCCCAUAAGAGGGGGAUAACAUCCGGAAACGGGUGCUAAUACCGCAUAGUUUCUUGAUCGCAUGAUUGAGAAAGGAAAGACGGCCUUUGUGCUGUCGCUUAUGGAUGGACCCGCGGCGUAUUAGUUAGUUGGUGAGGUAACGGCUCACCAAGACGAUGAUACGUAGCCGACCUGAGAGGGUGAUCGGCCACAUUGGGACUGAGACACGGCCCAAACUCCUACGGGAGGCAGCAGUAGGGAAUCUUCCGCAAUGGACGAAAGUCUGACGGAGCAACGCCGCGUGAGUGAAAGAAGGUUUUCGGAUCGUAAAACUCUGUUGUCAGAGAAGAACAAGUUGGAGAGUAACUGCUCCAGCCUUGACGGUAUCUGACCAGAAAGCCACGGCUAACUACGUGCCAGCCGCCGC
rnacentral:rRNA from 1 species